AACACUCUCCUUUGAGGGCAACUGAGGUCAGGACAAGCCCUGACCCCAGCACCUGCCUUAACAGGCCGUUGGGACUCGCCCAGCCGGCCGCUCCCCACCUGGCAAGGCCCCCUCCACGCUGCAGGUGAGGCCAGGCUGCUCCCUGGAUAGGAAUAAAUCUCCAAGGACUCCUUGGCGUGGCCAUUUCAGGACCCUUUCCUGUAGAGCAUGAAGCAAAUCUAGGUGCUGCUGGACAAGGUACCGUAAAGAGCCAGGGAAGAGACUUGAAACAGAAGAGAGACAGGAUCACACAAGCCAG